GAUGUAGCUCAGUGGUAGAACACGUGUCCAGCAUGCACAAGACCCUGGGUUCAAUUCCCCAGCACA
rnacentral:tRNA from 1 species